CCCUUCCUGUGGACGCUAAUAGGGAAGAGUCACAACCAGCGUGACUGAGACCACGGCAGCCGCAUGCUGGGCAUCGUCCUAAGCCCUGUACGCGACUAUCUCGGUCAAACCCCCACACGACACCUCCGCAUCCUCGGCCCCGUGGUGCCAGGCGCUGGCGUUCGCAUAGAUUCGUGAAGUGUUCCCGAAAACCCCAUGACGUGCCUUCUACUGUUAUCCUAGCUUCAAACAGAGAGGGGACCGCUUGCCCCCGGUCAGCGUGGAGCCGGCCAUCUUUCAAUAAUGCAACCUGCUUCUGCUAGCUGGGUAUACAGGAGAAAACCCAAAGGAACUGAGAAUAUUGAAAUGGUUCUACCAUUUCCAUCUUGGAGACAAAUGUGCCUCUCAGAGGAGAGCCGGAUGCAAGCAUGUGACUCUGCCUAACGACCGUCUACACAUAAGAGACGACACACACACUCCAGUGAUGUCUUACGCAAACAGGGAAAACACUGACCGGCGGGUCUGACCCCAGACUCCUUCCCUCCUCUCGGCUCUCGUUCCUCAGAGUUGUCACGUGGGCUGGAGUCUUGGAUUUCUUUCUUUUUUAUUAGGGAAACAUCCAAACCAUGUGGAACCAGGCGGCCGAAUGGGGCCUCGCUUAUCAGGCACAACGGAAUGUAUCCUGAUCCUUGCUCUAAACCUGGAAGAGGCUCCUUGGAUGUUUCCCCAAACCCCUCCUCAUGACAAAUAAGCAGGAGGAGGAGAGGGAAAGGAGACUCCGGGCCUAUCCCCCAACCUCCACCUUUUAAAAACGGAAGCAUUUUAAAACAUUGAGGCCCGAACUGUUUCAUCCGUCACUUAAAACCUUCCGGCUUAGAGAACACAAGGAGGUGUUGGUCAUAUGUGAUUUGAAGCAAAAAACACGUUAAAAGUGAGUUUCUUUUUCUAAGGAAUAAAUCUGAGUGACACGGAAGUGUUUUCCU